GAACGGUCUGGAAAGGCCGGCCACAGCGGGUGACAGCCCCGUAUUCGAAGCGAGACGAAGCAUAGUGCAAUCCUGAGUAGCGCGGGACACGAGGAAUCCUGCGUGAAUCGGCCGGGACCAUCCGGCAAGGCUAAAUACUCCCGAGAGACCGAUAGUGAACCAGUACUGUGAAGGAAAGGUGAAAAGCACUUCGAACAGAAGAGUGAAAUAGUACCUGAA
rnacentral:rRNA from 1 species